UUGGUGGUGUGAUCAACCAAUGGACUAGGGACAACUACUACACCGAAGUGUCAUUUUGCCAGCAAAGUAACGUUCAGAUAUAAAAGCCGCAGCAGCUCAUAGUGUUUCGUAGCUUCGUAAAAUCCAAGAUCCAAAACCAUCAUCGUCUUCCUCAAGUCUCGACAUCCCGGACCAAAUCUCAACAAUCCCAUUUCUAGAAACCCAAUACACAUCUCAUUUUCUAGGUGCUUCAUCAUGCCAAUAAACUUAAUGGGGAGUUGGUGAGUGUAUCCGGCUUUGAAGAAAGUGAGACAAGUGAUGUAAGAAUGGCUGAGGAUGUGGGAA